AACCUACUGUCGCAAAAUUUUUUUUAUUUUUGCUCUUAGGAAAAAAAGGAACGAUUGUCCCGCCUCCCAACUAUUUCUAGGUUUUGUUAAACCGCUUCCUUUUCCCCCAAAUAUUUCGAGAUUUUGUUUCCCUCCCAUAUGAAUCCAGUGUCCCGCCUCCAAUCUCGAACCUCCCACUCUCGCCUUCAAUCUCGUCUGUCAUCGCCAUCGCCAUCACCAUCACCAUCACCGGUUUAGCAUCCACCACCGGUCGACCCGGCUGCCACCGCUCCACAAAAACCCUCGUUGGUUCACCUUGUCGCUGUCUCCACCAAUCAACCGCCGUCGACUUUGCCACUGUAUCGGCAUCGCCCUCACAAUCGAUGGUUGGUCUAUCACCGCUGCCAUCGAUAGAGGAAGGCGAAGCUCAUCGGAAACCCUCACAAUCGUCCUUAGCCUUGUGGAUUGCACGGUCAGCCACCAUCGUCGUCCAGGCUCGUCUCCGAUCUCCAACCGUUAGCUAUAAUUCCUAACCUACUGCCUAUUUCAGCCACCAUACUCAGCCUUGAUGCAGGAAGGUUGGCAAGGAAAAAGCCAAAACACCAAAAAAGGAUUAUAAUGUGGAAUGCUAGAAUCAAAUUCUGAGAGAACAAUUUCUACAACCUCUACAUAUGUGGCAGAUCCAUAAGCUCUUGAAGUUCAGGAACUGGAUGCAACAUCUUUUAAAGAUUUUGCUAGCCAUGAAUGGCAUAUUGUAGUGGUGAGGGGUUUUUAAGUGAUUAAAUCUUGGUGCAUGUGUACAUUAGCUUUUAUUUCUAUCUUUAUUAUGGAUGAUGGAUAAUUGUAUUGGUAGCCAACUUCUUGUGAUAGCAUGAGGUCGAAUGAGUCGAUUAUUGUAGUGAAUCAAAAACAUGGAAUUCCAUCUCUCGUUUUCAACCAUUGUAGCAACCAAUUUUUCUGUUAUUGUAGCAACCAGCUUUUCUGUCAUUGAGUUAAUGGGAGCAUUUGUGGUCUCAGAUUUUAUCCCUUAUCUCAAGUGUUUGGAUGUGGGUGGAUACAUUAAAGAAAUGAAGAAAACCACAAUAGAUUUGGACAACGUCUUUGGGGGAUGGUUAAAAGAACAUAAAACAGUAAAGAACUUCACCCAACAACAUGAAAGCAACCAAGGCUUUAUAGAUGUGCUGAUUUCCAUUCUUCAAGGUGCUUCUAAACACGAAUUCCCGGAUUUUGACGAGGAUACGAUUAUUAAAUCUGCAUGUGAAGUAAACUCAAACGCUAUCAUCUCACUGUUUCUUGAUUUAUUUUCAAUGUUUUUGUUCAUUUUUUUCAAGCAUUUUGCCUUUAAAUAAAACGAAUUCCCAGAUUUUGACGAGGUUACGAUUAUUAAAUUAGCAUUUUGAAUGUGGUAUUUGACAAAAAAUGGAAUGGAUUAGUGCUUACUUUUUUAUAUGGUAUUUGGGACAAAUGUGAAUUGAAUGUGAUAUUUGACAAACAAUUGGAUAUUUUUAAUUUUUUAACUUUUUUUUUAAAUAAAACGAAGUUAGCUACGGAAUAGCUACGGAUUUCCGUAGCUAUUUUGCUCCGUAGCUAUUCCGUAGCUGUUUGGAUCCGUAGCUAUAUAACUCCGUAGUGAUUCCGUAGGAAUUCCGUAGCUAUUUUUUUCUGUAGCUAUUCCGUAGCUGUGGUAGCUACGGAAUUUUCCGUAGCUAUUCGGUAGCGGUUCCGUAGCUAUAAUUUAGCCACGGGCCAUUAUGCUACAGCCAUUUUUCCGUAGCAAUUCCGUAGCUAUCCGCUUAUAGCUACGGAUUGUGCCGUAGCUAUUGAUCCAGUUUUCUAAUAGUGUAUAAGAUUUAAACUCGCCGUUUUUAGAUUACCCUAGAAGUCUUAACCGCUUGAAACCCCCCAAAUCUCACAUAUCCAGUGUUUUUUGUCGGUAUAAUAAAUGAAAUACAGUAUUAUUGAAUCACAAUGAAUUACAAAAGAAGGAGAAGAACCACAUAAGAUGUACAGGAAACAUAUUGCAAAACAUAGCGGUCUGUUUUAAAGAUUUUGAGAUCCCAUUUGUGCAACAUUUGAAAUCGACUCUCUUCAUGACGUUACUACUUAUCUGAAGCACAAACACAAAUCUUUGGUCCAUAUAAAUGACACCAUCUUCAAGCUUUAUGAGGGUAAAGACGAACAGGUAGACCUUUGGCUGGACUAGGCAUUGGGUUAACAACAAUCUGCUCAUCAGGAAUCAUUUUCUCCCACUUGAACUUUGUUACGAGAUGAUGCAUGAACACAAGUAUUUCUAGUCGAGCAUACUCUUUUCCAGGACACAUGCGUGGUCCUCCUCCAAAUGGCACAAAUGUGUAAGGCGCCGGUCCACUGCCUUCGAAUCUUGAUGGAUCAAAUUUCUGGGGUUCUGGGAAGCACUCAGGGUUUUUGUGCGUUGAAUUUGCACUCCAGUACAACUGUAUUAAAUAAAUUACUUAAGUGAAAUCAUGUUAAUUAUAUAUAUUAUAUAUAUUAACGACAAGUCUUGUUUUUAAUCGUGUGUGUAAAUUACCUUCCAGCCCUUGGGGAUAGAAUAACCGUUGUAAUUAAAGUCGGUAAUGGCUUCUCUGAAAGCUCCUUGUAGCGGUGGGGCUAACCUCAUAACUUCACAUGCAACGUUCCAUGAGUACUUCAUCUUUGAUAGAUCAUCCCAGUUCAACAGCUCCCCAGACUCCAUCAUAAAUCUCAGGCAACUCCGCAAGAUACUUAACGAUAAAUGCACAAGCUGAGCUUGCAGUAUCAUGGCCACCGAUCAACAACCCUAUUAUCUUGUCAGCUAUAUCAUAUUCGGCCAUGAACUUUCCAUCUUCAUCGCUAGUCAGAAGCAUGUGCGACAAUAUGUCUUGUGUUGGUGUUGCUUUCCCUUCAGCCAAAUCAAUCUUCCUUUGCUUCACUAUGGCUAAGAGUUCUUUUCUUAUGAAGUUGGCAGCAUUGAUUCCUCUUCGGAACGUUGUCCCAGGAAGGUCAAUAGGGAUUGACAGAAUCCCCGAAGCGAUGCUCUCAAAUGGAGUAGAUAGGUAUCGUACACGUUCAGGGUCAUCAAUACUAACAAAAAUCUUGCAUGCAAGCCAAAAAGUGAAGUUUUUGGUGAGUUCAUAUGUCACAAUUUCAUCCUUUCCUUCCCAUCCAUUGGCAAAGUGUUGUUGUGUCACGACAUCCAUAAUAGGCACAUAACGAUGCAAUGCUUCGGGUUUGAAAAAGUUUGGAAGCAUCUUUCUCAUCUUAAUGGCUUCUAUCUUGGAGGUCUUGUCAGAAGAUGGAAAGAUUUUGUCCACCGAAGCAGGCCACCAUCCCUGUACGAGCUUGUUCUCAUUCAUGAACAAGAAUUUGUUACCUUGGGCCCCACAGAAAACCGCAGCAUCCUCCAACAUGAGAGACGUCCGAAACACUACAGAAGAAAACUUUGACAUGCGAUCAAAUAUGAACUUUUCUGGACAACCUUUCCAUCCGGUGGCAAGAAACUCAAUACUUUCUCCGAUUAUGGGCCACCCAGUUCUACCUGGGGGAAGUACUUUUCCGUCUUCGGUUGGUUUAUACUUGUAUAGGAGAAAAUGAAGAUAGAAUGAAACUGCAAGAACAAAAACAGAGAGAAGAGAAGCAUAGAAGAUGUCCAUUUUCAGAGCUUUGCACAAUAUUGUUCGCAAUAUGUUAGAUGGUGUAUGUUUUAAAAUGAUUACAGGGUGUGUGCAUAUAUAUACCAAAAGGUAGAAUGUGCCUGGUUUGAAAUUAUCUGCAUGAGAUAGAGGACAAAAUGACGAAUCUCUAAAACAAAAAUGUUUGACAAAAAGAUUUGAUGAUUUGUACAUUAUAAGUUGGUUUCCAAGAUUAUAUUCAUCAGCAAAAUAAUAAGGA